rnacentral:rRNA from 1 species
GAAUUCGCCCUUAGAGUUUGAUCCUGGCUCAGGACGAACGCUGGCGGCGUGCUUAAUACAUGCAAGUCGAACGAUGAAAUUCUGACGGAGACUUCGGUCAACUGAGGGAUGGAUUAGUGGCGGACGGGUGAGUAACGCGUGAGUAACCUGCCUUUCAGAGUGGAAUAACAUUUGGAAACGAAUGGUAAUACCGCAUAACGUCACGGGAUCGCAUGAUUCUGUGACCAAAGGAGCAAUCCGCUGAAAGAUGGACUCGCGUCCGAUUAGCUAGUUGGAGAGGUAACGGCUCCCCAAGGCGACGAUCGGUAGCCGGACUGAGAGGUUGAACGGCCACAUUGGGACUGAGACACGGUCCAAACUCCUACGGGAGGCAGCAGUGGGGAAUAUUGCACAAUGGGCGAAAGCCUGAUGCAGCAACGCCGCGUGAAGGAUGAAGGCCUUCGGGUCGUAAACUUCUGUCCUUGGGGAAGAAGAACUGACGGUACCCUUGGAGGAAGCCCCGGCUAACUACGUGCCAGCAGCCGCGGUAAUACGUAGGGGGCAAGCGUUAUCCGGAAUUAUUGGGCGUAAAGCGUGCGUAGGUGGUUCUUUAAGCGCAGGGUUUAAGGCAAUGGCCCAACCAUUGUUCGCCCUGCGAACUGGAGGACUUGAGUGCAGGAGAGGAAAGCGGAAUUCCUAGUGUAGCGGUGAAACGCGUAGAUAUUAGGAGGAACACCAGUGGCGAAGGCGGCUUGCUGGACGAUAACUGACGCUGAGGCGCGAAAGCGUGGGGAGCAAACAGGAUUAGAUACCCUGGUAGUCCACGCUGUAAACGAUGAAUACUAGGUGUGGGAGGACUGACCCCUUCCGUGCCGCAGUUAACACAAUAAGUAUUCCACCUGGGGAGUACGACCGCAAGGUUGAAACUCAAAGGAAUUGACGGGGGCCCGCACAAGCAGUGGAUUAUGUGGUUUAAUUCGACGCAACGCGAAGAACCUCACCAGGGUUUGACAUCCAACUAACGAAGUAGAGAUACAUUAGGUGCCCUUCGGGGAAAGUUGAGACAGGUGGUGCAUGGUUGUCGUCAGCUCGUGUCGUGAGAUGUUGGGUUAAGUCCCGCAACGAGCGCAACCCCUAUUGUUAGUUGCUACGCAAGAGCACUCUAGCGAGACUGCCGUUGACAAAACGGAGGAAGGCGGGGACGACGUCAAAUCAUCAUGCCCCUUAUAUCCUGGGCUACACACGUAAUACAAUGGUGGUUAACAGAGGGAAGCAAUACAGCGAUGUGGAGCAAAUCCCUAAAAGCCAUCUCAGUUCGGAUUGCAGGCUGCAACUCGCCUGCAUGAAGCUGGAAUUGCUAGUAAUCGCGGAUCAGCAUGCCGCGGUGAAUACGUUCCCGGGCCUUGCACUCACCGCCCGUCA